rnacentral:lncRNA from 1 species
UUUUUUUUUUUUUUUUUUGGUCUUUUCUAGGGCUGCAUCUGUGGCAUAGGGAGGUUCCCAGGCUAGGGGUCUAAUUGGAGCUGUAACCGCUGGCCUACUCCAGAGGCACAGCAACGCGGGAACCAAGCCGCAUCUGCAACCUACACCACAGCUCAUGGCAACGCCGGAUCUUUAAUCCACUGAGCGAGGCCAGGGAUCGAACUUGCAACCUCAUGGGUCCUAGUUGGAUUGGUUAACCGCUGAGCCACCACAGGAACUCCUCUCCUGUUACUCUUGAUUUUGCACAUUGGGAUCCUGUUCAAUACACUUCGCUGCAUUUGAAACCCCUCCCAGUCAAUGGGGGCAUGCUUUUUGAAAGGCUGCAUGACAUUCCACACUGGGGAGAGAGGCAUGGCUGUGCUCACACCUACACCCCGCCUGCUGGGCACGGGCCUGGCCGUCUCAGUUCCAGAUCCACUAGAGACCACGGUGCUGUAAGCGUCCCUGAACGCAUACCCAUCCUUCCUUUCUUGAGCUUUGAUUGUAACAGGCUGAAUUUCUACCUCUUUUGCCUCAGGGAAGAAAACCAAGAGAUAUAGAUGGAGGGGGUUUGCCUGGAAUCACACAUCCAAUAAGUGUUCAAAGCAAGUGCACUGGAUGCUGUAUCACAUACUCUUUAUUCCACCAGACACUCUGUCCUUCUUCUAGCCUUACUGCUAGAAAUGUUUCUUUCCAUCAGAUUCAGUAAAGGCUUGCCCUGAAAUCCUUCCUCCCCUGGGACAGAGGUGGUCAAGUGCCUGGCUGUCACAGAACAUCUUGGUGGCUCUGGGUGGAGGGAAUUCAAUGCAGACGAGGCAUUCAGGGCUGCUGCUAGUGCCAGCAUGUAGCAAGCACUUGGGGAAGUCGUGCUAAAAAUACUACAUCUGCUCAAUAAAUGGGUAUUGAAUGCCGACAGUGUUCCAGGCUGGCAGGCGACAGACUUUGUUCAGCCCUGUUCUAAGAUGGCAGGAACAGCCUUGGGCCUCAUUCAUUUCCAUCUUGGAGGCUUACUGGCUGGGCCUGGAGUCCCUGGGGUUGUUAUCAAGGGGAUUCAAGGUCCCCCAGACAGGUCAGACCAGACUGGCCACAAAAUUCUGUGGCCCUGCCUCAUGAGCCACACUGUCCUCAUCUGUGGACUGGGAAGGGGAGAGGGUAAAAACUGGACUUGAGGGACCUUGGACUUCAAACCUGCCAUGUCACCAGUGGGAGUAAGGUGCAGAGCUGCAAAGAGAUAUUUCCAAAGUGUCCCGGGAGCUGGUGAUGGGGUUGGGGUACAAGUCCCUUCUGGGGGGCUUCUAGCCUUAUUGUUCUUUGUUCUGUGCUGCUGCCAUUUCAACCCUGUGCACAUGUGUGCCCGUUUUCUUUUCCUCUCUACAAACCUGGAUGAAAUACACACUGAUGAAAACUGUGGGCUGUGAGAACAGGCAGGCCUGAGUUUGAGUCUUAGCCUCCUACCCAUACAGUGACCUCAGAAAAUUAUUUAACCUCUGUGGGUUCAUAACAAUGGCCAGUCCCCCAGAGUUCUGAGAAUUCCAUGAAACAAUGACUUGAAAGGGCCUAGCAGGAAGCCAACCACAUAGUAUGCACUCACUAAAUGCUGAUCAUGUCUUUUAGUUCCCAUUUGCAUCUUUGAAUUCUUGCAGAACCUCUCUGCAAUUCCCAGAGUCUCCAGUACAACUUGUUUUCCCCAAACAAUAGCUCUCUUGACGUCUGAGGAGAAUGGGGGCCUCUGUGAAGCUCUUCCAAACCCUCUAUUGCGGGCUUUCAUCCACUGAACCCCUGAGGAAUUGUCGGCCUGCACUUAACUUCUCCAGAAGCAAGACUCUGCUGAUCCCUUUCUGGUGAACAGCAAUGAACUUGUCAAGAGACCAGCCAGGAGGGAGGUGGUGAAGGGGCAGGAGCGGGGCAGGCAGGUGUACAAGCCAGCAAGGAGGGCUGGGGCCAUCCAUCUUGAUUCUUUUCUCCGUGUCCAAGUGUAAAGGGAUUUGUGUCUACAAGGCUGUCUUCGCCAACCUCAGGGAAGAAGAGAAGUUGUUUAAUUGGAAAGUUUUACUUCUACCACAGAGGAAGAUUCUGGGACAAUUAGGGAUAUUGUAAUUUCUUAUUAAGGUCAAAAAGAAAUGAUAGGUAGAGCCCAUGAGUCACUUUCCAACAUGGUGAGAAAUGGAGUUGCUGGGUGACUGGGUGCGAGUGAGCCUGCGUGCCCCCAGUCUUAACGAUGUGGAGGGGGGGCUGUGGGAAGGGCGCUGGCUGCCUCCUUCCUGCCUCUGGAAUGCUCACCUUUUUGGAAACCCAAUAAAAUUAAUUCCAAGCUCAGAUUAUUAAUUCGUCCUGGUGUGUGAAUAAUUCAUUGUGGCAGAAGCCCUGUCACAUCUUCACGUUUUGGAGCGCAUAGCCUCUCCCGCUCUUGCCUUCGGAGAGAUGGCUUUCCCUUCUAACCUGCCCAAGUGUGAGAGGGACCAAGCACUCAGCCAUCAAUUCCCCAAGGAGGUCUGAGCCCUGAUUUGAGCCUGAUGCCUAUUUCGAAUCCAGCAGCCAGAGUGUAGGUGGCUGCAGUGAACUGAGGUGACCUGCUGAAGUCAGGAUGCUUCUUAAGGACCAGGGGGACUUGCUCGCCAGGCUCAUGGCUGCACAAGGAUGUAAAAGGAAUUCCUGUCGUGACCAAACGCCACUGCCCAUUACAGUGAGGUCCUCUGAGAGGACCUCCAUUGGCCUGCCCAUCAAUUAUGCAUUUCCCCAGCACACCUUCCAGGCCAGCUUCUCGUGUCAGGAUUGUUCCCUGACUGCUCCCCUCUGAGCAAGUGUCUCCACUCUGCUCCUGGGGAAGAGAUAAGAGAUGAGGCACUACCAGCUGAUAGCCUCCAGGGAGCCCAGUGCCAAAGCCUAAGUGGAACAAGGGAAGGGAUGAGUGGGUCCAGAAGCUUCUCUCUUGAACAGGAAUAAGGAGCAUGGGCCAUCCUCUGUUAAACCAGUGGCUCUGGGGAUCUUUCUUGCUUUGAACACAUGUUGUCACUGAACUGUGUGCUUACAAAGGACCCUGGGAUGCAGACGGGUGAGCAAGCUGCCCUUCUGAUAGAUGAGGCAUCUGCCACUUGAAGAGGCACAGGCAGUGUGUAGCUUUGCCUGGCAGGUUCUGGUCGGGCUUGAAAUAGUCCCUAAUCUGGUGGGCAAAUAAUUCUCGUAUCUCUUCUUUUACCAAGGAGGAUGCUCACCCCAACCCUGCGUAUUCGUUACCCGCACUCAGGACAGGAGUCCUGGCCACCGCUUGGAUCUGGUUCUUGGGCUAAGGAGCUUCUGCUCUGAGCUGGCAGCAGACACCCAAUAAGGUCUCAGUGACAGGGCCCUGCUAAGGGAUAAGGAAGAUACGUGAGGACCCAGGGAAGAGCAGCCUGCUGACUACAAGUUCCUCAAGGGCAAGGACCACGUCUGAUGAAUGUCCCACUGCAGCCCAUCCCACAGCACAGCUGUAUCGUGAUAAAAGCAGAACGAGAGAAUAAAUGAAGGAAUGCAAGGCAGACCCCAAGGAAAGCCAAUGGAGAGGUAAAACCAAGCAGCCCCUGGAGGCCUGAGGAGAGGGUGCUAUCUCCAUCUGGGGGAUCUAGGAUGACUUCCUGGAGGAGGUGGCAUUGGAACUUUGGGGAUUCUCUGGCUGUGAAUUCAGAGGGUUCUCCUGCCUCAUUUAGACAUUCAAAGACGACUUACUAAUUAACAACUGGAGAAAGAAUUCUGCAUGCAGACUGUUUGUACCUUAGCCGAGUGUCCCCAAACUUGGGAAACACAGUAGCACUUUAUGUAGGUUUCCAGUUGAGCCUGGAAUCAGCGUGAAUUGUUGGGAGGGGUUUGGGGAGUAGGGUAGACAGGCACAGGCUCUGCAGAGCCUGGCACCACACCCCUCUCUCUUCCCUUCAGAGCACAUCUUUCCAGAGACCAUCACAUUUGAUCUUGCCGAUUAUUUGGUCAACCUCUUUUCUCUGGGCAGCGCUGAUGGGGAACAACAUAUGCUUGGCCUUCUGCCUUCCUCUCCUAUACACACCCCUACACACACCCACAUCACACCCAUUAAUCUCCAUGACAACAAGGGGAGAGAGCGUGGCCUGAUGCUUCCAGGCCUCAAUACGCGGACUUAGAGCCUAGAGACUUAGCAGUUCUGGCCCUGCAGCCUCACAAAGAAGGACUAGAGUGAUUGCAGAGGCCAGGCAUGGAGAAGGGAGGGCUUUGGGGUUGCUUGUGCCCUCAGAGAGGAGGGGUCAUUGCCCUGGGAGCCCUACUGCUGGCCGUUUCCUGAUGAAGAGGUUGGUCAUUUUGCCCCCAAACACCCUCAUCCCUUGUCAGGGAUAAGCAGCGUUUGGGGGAAGGAGGGCCGGCUUUGUAUCCAAUCCCAGCUCUACCAUUUCCCUCUUCUUGUGAGUUCUCUGAACCUCUGGAUCUGCAUCUAUAAAAGGACAACUCCUUGAAAGGACUUCUGUGACUUCUAGAAAUUGGCAUUAAAAAAAAAAAUCUAUCAACGCCUCUGUUUUAGAAACUAACCAAAUGAGAUUGGUCAAAAUCAGAGAUAGGGUGUGAGGGGUGGAGAACGUGCAAACCGGCAAAAUAGGGAAACAACUAGUCAGUCUAAUUAAGAAAAAGAGUAGAGACAAAACAAUACCAAAAUUAGGAGUGGGAAAGGGAAUAUGGCCAUUGGUAUUACACAGAGGAUGUUAUAAAACUAAUAUGAGGAUAUAUGAACCAACUCUGUAAAAUAUGUUGAAGACAAGAUCAAAUGCAUAUUUUUCUAUGAAAACAUAUACUUAACUUUAAAAAUGGCAGUUUCAGACUUCCCUUGUGGCUCACAACAUAACUGCAUAGCGUUGCUUCUACAGUGGCUGUGGCUUAACUCUUGGCUCGGGUAUUUCAUAUGCCACAGGUGUGGCCACUUGUUUAAAAAAUAAAAUAAAAAAAUUUUAAAUGACAAGUUCAUCAGAGCAAAACCCUGGGAGAAAGUGGAAGAAAAAGUCAAUGAAUUACAUCUCCAACUAAUUUGCAUCCGUGUAGGAAAACAGGCUAAAAUAGUUUCACAGACUGCUUCUUUUUUUUUCUCUUCAAAAUUUCAAGGAGUUAAUCAUUACCAAGCUAUACAAAGUAUUCCAGAAUGUUUUUUUAAUAAAUCAAUACCUAAUUCAUUUUACAAGUUAGAAUAUUGCUAAUAAUCAUGUUUGACAACGAUAAUAUCCAAAAAAUAAAUCUACAAGAUAUCACCAGUGGAUUUACAUGUAAAGAUUCUAACUAAAGUAUGCAUAUAUAUCAAAUUUCUGAAGUGUAUUAAAAGGAUAAUAUACUAUGAUUAAGUAGGGUAUAAUCUGGGUAUGGUAGGUUUAAAAAUCAAUCAACAUAAUUUAUCAAGUUAAAAAUAGUAAAGUAUUGAGUUCCCAUUGUGUCUCAGUGGGUUAAGAACCUGACAUAGUCUCUGAAGAUGUGGGUUCAAUUCCUGGCUUUGCUCAGUGGGUAAAGGAUCCGGCAUGCCGCAAGCUGCAGCAUAAGAUUGCAGAUGAGGCUUGGAUGUGAUGUUGCUGUGGCUGUGGUAUAGGCCAGCAGCUGCAGCUCCGAUUCAAUGCCUAGCCUAGGAACUUCCAUAUGCUGUAGGUGUGGCCAUGAAAAGAAUAAUAAAAAAUAAAACAAA